GAUGAACGCUGGCGGCGUGCUUAACACAUGCAAGUCGAACGGAAAGGCGCGGAGUUUGCGGGGUGCUCGUGUGCGGAGGGGGUGAGAAAAACGUGAGUAACCUGCACUUAAAUGUGGGAGAAAUCCAGGAGACAGGGGCGAUUACCGGAUAGGAGCUCUUGCUGCAUGGGGUGGGUUGGAAAGUUUCGGCGGUUGGGGAUGGACUCGAGGCUUAUCAGCUGGAUGGGGUGGUAGGGGUUUACAAAGGCUGUGAGGGGUAGCCGGCCUGGGAGGGUGAACGGCCUCCUUGCGACUGAGAUACGGACCAGACUCCUACGGGAGGCAGCAGUGGAGAGUAUUGCGCAAUGGGCGGACGCCUGAUGCAGCGACGCCGCGUGCGUGAUAACCGCCUUCGGGUUAUAAACCGCUUUCGCCUGUGACGAAGCGUGAGUGACGGUAAUGGGUCAAGAAGCACCGGCUAACUACGUG
rnacentral:rRNA from 1 species